UAUAGUAUUUAAAGAAACUAUAAAAAUAAUUUAUUUUUUGGAACGAACCCGCCACCAGCAUUGUGUGGCCCACACGCCGCCGCUGCCGCCGGUUCCAGUCUAAAAACUGUAGUUUACAUAUUUGAAAGGUCAUAAUCUCACCCCUGUGGUUCGUUCGAAUUAAUUCCGUCAGAAUCGCCGCGAAAUCAGCCUGGAAGUCAGAAAACCGCCGCCGCCCGUCUCUGUUCAGCCACCUCCGGCCAUUGCCGCCAAUUCUAAUCCAUCUUCAUCAUCUUUUUAGAAACUGUUGCUUACUUUGAUGAGCAAGAUCAGCUCCAGCAUGUCCUAUUAACUCUCUUGCCGCCGCUUGAAGCAUGUCCCUGGAUUAUCGAGAAAGCACAAGUGUUAAAAUUAAAGGAAGUUACUAAAAUUAUUUGCCUUAGCGAGUCGGGGUGAGCAUUGAGGAUAGAGUCAAAAUUUUAAAAUCCGAGAUAAGGAGUGGAUGUGGAUGUGGCUACCAAAGUCGUCGAAGUCUCUUUGGCCAACGAGUAUUAACUCCGUGAUGUUCAGCGUGAAUGGAUGAUGAAGAGCCUCAUGCCCCGCUCCAAAAAUGUUAGAUAAACCGAUAGUUUGCUAUUUGAAAGUAUAGCUUGCUUUUGUUGCUGAGAAACAGAGAGUAAGCGCAUAGAUAGUAAAGCUGCUGGAAGGAAGAGUAUGAAAACGGUAUAGAGAAAGAUGGCAUAACCUUUUGAGGCUAGACGUCAAAAUUCUUUAUUUUCUCCCUCUUUUUGCUAUAUCCAUUUACAUUUAUUUUUGAGGGAUUUUUUUUGAGGGAUUUUUUUUUUAUUCAUUUAAAAAGUUAUAAAAAACCUCUGUUGAUCAUUUACAUGACAAUCUAUGAUCGACAUAUGUAUAUAUAUGUCAAUAGUUUUUUCUUUGAAGUAAUAUAUAUGUUUAUUAGAUUUUUGGCAUUUUCUUUUUUAUUAAUUGAAGAAUUUUUAUUUUGUUUGGUAUAUUUAUUAAGAAUAUUGUUGAGUACGUAUUAAUUGUGUAUGAUUUAAUUUAGUGGUUAUGCUUAAAUUUUAAAAAAUGGUCUCCCGAGCGAGGGUUUGGUACUAGUGAUAUAGAUAUGGAAGAGAUGGUCAAAUGUCUUGUUCAGAUCCUUCUUAUCCUCUUUUAUCUCCAAUUGACCCUUGAACUUUAUUUUUACUUUAUUUAUAAUUACACUUUCAAAAUUUAAAAUAGCCACUUGUUAUUUUUAAGGACUCUUUUUUUCAAUUUUAAUUACUUAAAAUAGAUCGAAACCACGACUUAUGAAAAUUAUUUAUUUUUGUCCUAAAACUUUUAUUUUCUUAAACUCUUUCAUUUUUUGAUAAAACUUUCCGAAUAAAUUUUUAAAAAUAUAUUAUGGAUAAUAAUCUCAAAAUCAUUAUAUUGGGACAUUUAAUUAAUUUUAUUUCAAUAUUUUUUUUAAUUUUUUUUAAUUUUCUUACUUUUUCUUAGUCCUACUUAAAUUUACUUUUCAACCAAAAUUUAUCAAAUUAAUUUCUAAUGAUCCCUAUAGUUUAAUUAGCUUCCCCGGAUAUUUAAAAAAAUCGUCGCACACUUAAAAAAGAACAAUAGAAAAAGGAAAAAGUUAGAAUGUUCUUUGAAUUGAUAAAUCUCUCUUAGAGGUAUCAUUGCUCCGCCAAAUUGCUCGCAGCCAGAGUUGCUUUCUCCAAACGGAGGCGUUGUGAUCGUGAUAAUGAUUAUCUACAGCUGCAAUUUGAUAGACCAGAGCUGCUUCCUCCAAACGGAGAGGUUGAUUUCAUUACAGCUUUUGGUUUUUUUUACUGAAAUGUCUCCAGGAAGAUCACAUUUCCUAAUAUAACUCAGUUCAGCCUUCGUUUAUACCACCGACUAAUGCCUCUUCCUCAAAUCCUCUGAAAAGCAGCAGCACACUUGCCUCUCAAAGAACAGCUACAGCUCUAUCUACUUUAAAUAGCAGCCAACACACCUUUCAAACUGAGUUAGUAGACUCGUUAAGUCAAGAGAGCAAUACAG